ACUCCACGGGAGGCAGCAGUGGGGAAUAUUGGACAAUGGGCGAAAGCCUGAUCCAGCCAUGCCGCAUGAGUGAAGAAGGCCUUUGGGUUGUAAAGCUCUUUUAGUGAGGAAGAUAAUGACGGUACUCACAGAAGAAGUCCUGGCUAACUCCGUGCCAGCAGCCGCGGUAAUACGGAGAGGGCUAGCGUUAUUCGGAAUUAUUGGGCGUAAAGGGCGCGUAGGCUGGUUAGUAAGUUAAAAGUGAAAUCCCGAGGCUUAACCUUGGAACUGCUUUUAAAACUGCUAACCUAGAGAUUGAAAGAGGAUAGAGGAAUUCCUAGUGUAGAGGUGAAAUUCGUAAAUAUUAGGAGGAACACCAGUGGCGAAGGCGUCUAUCUGGUUCAAAUCUGACGCUGAGGCGCGAAGGCGUGGGGAGCAAACAGGAUUAGAUACCCUGGUAGUCC
rnacentral:rRNA from 1 species